rnacentral:tRNA from 1 species
GGGGAUAUAAUUCAGUGGUAGAAUGCUUGCCUAGCAUGCAUGAGGCUUUGGAUUUGAGUUCUAGCACCUCA